rnacentral:ncRNA from 2 species
GCUGGGAGCGGUGAUGGAUCCCGCCGGGGCGCAGCCGCCCGAACCGCCGCCAGGGCUGAUGGUUCCUGACUCGUC